rnacentral:rRNA from 1 species
AUUGACCGCUGGCGGCAGGCCUAACACAUGCCAGUCGAACGAGCGGCGGACGGGUGAGUAAUGUAUGGGAAACUGCCCGAUGGAGGGGGAUAACUACUGGAAACGGUAGCUCAUACCGCAUACUAUCGGAUGAUCCCAGCUGGGAUUAGCUAGUAGGUGGGGUAAAGGCUCACCUAGGCGACGAUCCCUCGCUGGUCUGAGAGGAGGAUCAGCCACACGGGGACGGAGACACGGUCCAGACUCCUACGGGAGGCAGCAGUGGGGAAUAUUGCGCAAUGGGCGCAAGCCUGAUGCAGCCAUGCCGCGUGUAUGAAGAAGGCCUUCGGGUUGUAAAGUACUGUCAGCGGGGAGGCGUUACCCGCAGAAGAAGCACCGGCUAACUCCGUGCCAGCAGCCGCGGUAAUUC